AUGACUUUGAGCUCCAUCCUCAUCUGGACUCUCCUCUGCUGCUGCUUGACAGAGUCCAGAGGCCAGGUCACAGUGACUCAGCCUGGAGCAGUGAGCGCUGCUCUGGGAGCCUCCGUCACCAUCACAUGUAAAACCAGCCAGGAUGUUGCUGCUGUUCCUGUCAAAGAUGAUGAUGGUAAUGCUGUUAACGUAGACAUUCUAUCAUGGUACCAACAGAAAGACGGAGAAACUCCUAAAGUGCUCAUUUACGCUGCUAAUACUCGAGCACCAGGGAUCCCAGGUCGUUUUACAGGCAGUGGAUCAGGGAGUGACUUCACUCUGACCAUCAGUGGAGUCCAGGCUGAAGAUGCAGCAGUUUACUACUGUAAGAGUGCUCACGUUAUCAACAGUAAAGGAGUGUUCACACAGUGA